GAAGUAUUUAAAGAUCUCGAGAGGCCAAACCAUAUUAUUAAUUGUUUUUUUUUUUUUUUUAAGAAAUUAAAUUAUCUCACACAGUAUCCACCAGCAUUGUCUUUAAAACCAUUUUUUUUUGUUAUUUAUUGAAUUUAGUUCUCUUUAUCUAACUGCCAAAAAUGUUCAUAAUUUAGCUUUGCCGGUUAAUUAUGCAAUACGUAUGCACAGUUUAUAAAUAUAUAUAUAUAUAGUUCAAGAGGUUGACUAGUUUGAGCAUCUAGUCCAUAGAUAUGAAACACUGACCUGGAACGGGCGAGGGAUCGCACCAGCGCGAUGUGUGUGUGUGGUGAUCUCGGCCGUGUCUGUGCCCGCAGUUGUUCGUGCACUCGCAGGGGGUCGAGGCGCUUCACGAGUUCUACCCGGCGAAACUGUUCCCGGCGGAGUUCGGCGGGACUGCGCCCGGAGCCCAGGAGCUCAGCGACAUGUGGACUCAAAAAUUGCUGGAUGAAAGAGACUGGUUCCUGAGUGAGGAGAAGAAGAUGGCUGACGAGUCGAAGCGUCUAGGAAAGAUUCUGGACUCUGGAGAACUCUUUGGGAUGGACGGUUCAU